GGAAUCAGUAUUUUUGCAUCAGUUGAGAGAAAACAAUUGCCAACCCAGAAUGUUGUAUCAAGAACAAAGGUGAAAGGAAAGUGUUCUCAGAUGAAGACUAAAAACAUUUGCUGCCAGGAGCCUUGUUGUAAGAGAGUUGGCCACAGGCUAUACUUUCAGAGAUCAUUUUUAUAGUUUGUACAAGAGUUGGCCACUGGAGGUUCAUUGCACUAGAAGGAACCUUGAAACAUAGGAAUAAGGAGGAAUGGAAAUGGUAAACAUAUGGGCAGAUUGCAGAAUUGCAAGUGGGCAGUUCUCAAUAGGUUCUUUAAAAAUGUAUUUUUGCUGAAUGCAAAAGUUAGUGUUGUUUGGGUCUUCAACUGUAUGUAGAUGUAACUUGAAAGACAGUCAUAUAUGGGGGAAAGGCGAUGGGUUCCCACUCAAAGCAGUAAAAUACUGAUUCCAGUUAGAUCAGUAUUUUGCAUAUACAUUCAUUUACAUAUACAUGUUUCAUCUCUUAGAUCAACCAUUAAACUAUGUAGAAAGAUGGCCAAAAACACGAUAAAUGAAUUAAAAUGGAAUUACAAUAUUAAGAAAACUCAAAAUGAAGGUAGAAAUGAGGAAACAGGGAAGAACAAAGAAAAAAAUGAGAAAGAUGACACUUAAAUUCAAACAUACCACAUUACAUUGCAUACAGAUGACCUAAACACACCAAUGCUGUCAAAGAGGCUUGAAAAAAUAACUCAAUUCUGUCAUCUACAAUGAACUCUUCUAAUAUCCAACAUGUAAGAUAACACUCUUAAGUCAUAGAAUUUGUGCUUAGUGUGCAGGAAGCCCUGGAUUUAAUCUUUAAGGUAGACCUAUUUAUGUCAUAAGAAGUAAAAACUGGACUUCAAUAACAGUUCCCAGAGAUAAAGAGGACUGUUGCCUAAUGAAGACCAUAUAGCUUGAGUGUUUCUGCACCUAACGACUGAUACAGAAAACUGGACCUGUCUACUUUACAAGUGGUGGGUCAGGGCUGCUCUAAGACCUACAAGAAGGAGCAUCUGUAGACAGAGAAAACCAGGAUGUGGAGAAUCUGAGCACUACUCUCCAGCAGCUGAAUGACCUGUUCAGAUCAUCCCCCAAAUAGUAGCCAUCCCCUGUGCAUGUGGAACAUUUACCAGACAGAUAUGUGGGUCAUAAAAGAAACUUUAAAGAUUCAAAAGGAUUAAAGUUAAGUUAAAAUACAUUUCUGACCACAGUGUUAUUAGACUACAAACAGUAGCAAAUAUUAAGAACAUCUCUCUAAAUGUGGAUGUUAGAUAAGUAGCAAACUUCUGAGGAAGCCACAAGGAAAAUUAGAAAAUAUUUUGACACAAAUAAAAAUAUAACAUACCAAAACUUGGAAGGUGAAAUUUGGAUAAUAAAUAUAUAUCAUAAAAAUAAAAGAAGGAAGGCCUCGCAUCAGUAAUCCAAGUUCCUGUCUUAAGACUAUAAAAAGCAGAAGUGAAACAAAUGAUACAGAAAAAUAGAAAUGAAAUUAGACCUGUAAAUGGUAGUGAGUGAGACCAGGACUGGUUCUUUGGAUGAUCUUUGUCUUAAUCAAUCAUAGCUGAAAAGCCAAGGAAAGGGAAACAAAUUUUCAACAAAAAGAAUGAGCAAAGGGGGCAGAUAGCACUGUGGCAGAACUAAGAAGGAAAAUGAAAUUCUUUGAACAGCUCUCUACAGGAAUUUGUCAUCUUAAAUGAAAUGGUCUGUUUUCUCAGAAAUUAGAAAUUACCCAAGGUAAAAGAUAAACUGAUUAAUACUGCAAUUUUUGGUUUUGUUCUUAAAAAAACAAAACAAAAAAAAAAAACAAGAAAAUUAACAGGGCUGGGGAGAUGGCUCAGUGGUUAAGAGCACUGGCUACCCUUCCAGAGAACCUGGGUUCAAUUCCCAGCACCCACAUGGUGGCUAACUCCAGUUCCAGGGAUCCAACACUCUUACAGAGACAUAUGUGCAGGCAAAACACCAAUGCACAUGAAAUAAAAAUAACUUAAAAAAAGAAAAGGAAAAUUAAAGUUAAAUACUGUGAUGGUUAAAAUGUGCAAUGUUCCUCACAGGCUCAUUCAUGUGUUUGAACACUUGGUCUCCAGCUGCUGGAGCUGUUUGGGAAGGUUGUGGAACCGUCAGGAGGUGGAGCCUUAGUAGAGAAAGUGGAUCAUUGGGCGGGCCUUGAAGUGCUGGGGCUCCAUUUCUUGUUCACUCUGUGCCUCCUGUAUGUUGAUACAGUAUGAUUAAUUGGACUUCUGCACUUGUUCCAUGCUUUCCCUACCACUGUGAACUCCAUCCUCUUGAACUAUAAGACACAAUAAACCCUUUCUUCUUAAGUUGCUUUUUUUUCAGGGUAUUUGACCACAGCAAGGAGAAAAAUAAGACAGGUACUUUCCAGAAAAGUUAGCUCCCAGCCCACAUGAUUUCACUGAUGAAAUCUACUUAAAAACACUGCCAAAUUUAGAAGGAAAAGGACAUUUCCUGACUCAUUCCUUAAUGCUUGUGCUACUGACACUGAACCCUAGCCCAGUGUCCUUUAUGAACACACAUGAUCCUCAGCAUGUUAUUAACAAAUUGAACCCAAGACAUUUUUUUUUUUUUUUAAAGCCAACACACAGGACUAAGUGACAUUUAUCCUAGGAAUGCAAGGCUGGAAUGAUGUAUGAAAACAGUCACUAUCAUCAACUGUAUUGCUAACCUAAAGAAUCAAAUGGUCCUCUUGAGUCAGAAAAAGGCUCAUUUUUGAUAAAAACUCAACAAAGUAAAACAGGAAAAUGUUCACUUGAUAGAGGACACUAAAAAGGAAGCUACAGUGACUGGGAAGGACCAUUGCUACCGAUGGGGUUUCAUACAGUGUGAAACCUAGAUAGAUGUCUCUUAGUGUCAUGUGAGACAUUUGUUCAAGAACCUUCUAUGGAUCCGCUAGAGUCCCUUUUAUAAAAUGGUAACCUAACAUUGUCACGUACACUUUAAAUUAUUUUCUACAUUACUUAUACUUCCUAAUACAGUGUUGUGUUGAUAUUUUGUUUAUGAUCUAAUAAAGCUUGCCUGAAGAUUAGGAAAGCAAAGCAGCCAAACCACUAGAGAGUUCUUACCUCUACCAAGGCUUGGGCAUGCACCACCAACCACUCAACUUCUAUGGCUAACAAGUGUGGCUGCUAGGAUUAAAGGCCUGGCGUCUAUGGCUGUGGCUAGCUUUGCAUUCUAAUCUUCAAGCAAGCUUUAAUUGUUCAUAAACAAAAUACCACCACACAGUGUAACUGCUGUGUAAGAAGUAUUGUGUUGUUUAAGGAAUUAUGAUGAUCAGUCAAAACAUUUUUUUUUCCUCCUUGAGGAAUGCUUUUGAUCUGCAGUAGGUUAAAUCUGACUGCAGAACCUGCAGACCAACUGUUCUUAAGAUUAGCUUCCUAAUCGCCUCAUAGGUGUUUGCUAUCAAGAAGUUAAAGUCGGCACUGGUACAAACUCCCUACACAAAGUUUCUCAGUGCAAACCUUCUUGGCUACUGAUCACAUGAGGCUGAAUAUGUGUGUUCUUUGCUAAGAACUUGGAAGAACCACCUCCAAGUGGUCCUUCACAUAUUUUCUCCCUCCCGUAUUCUGGCUUCUCAGUUGCUCUAUGCCUUUGCUUUUGCCUUUCCUUGAAUGUGGUUUUCAAAGGGUGGUCAUAGCUCAGAUGGUUUCACUUGACCACCUAAAGGGAUUUCAUUAGGAUUCUAGGGUAUUUUUUGCACAGCAUUUUUCUUCAUUGGAAAUUCUUGUCCAUAUGAUUGUGUCUUUAUAUUGUGCCUCUCAAGCAGCACCAGCAUGUAUUCAGGAGAGGCAGGAUCAGACUGUAUUUACUUGUUGAUGGCUUAAGAUGGUGCUCGGCUUUAGUGAAUGGUUAACUUACAGACCAUUUCUAAUUUUUGACAACACAUACAUUUUUCUAUAGCUUCACAUAUUAUUGCAUGAUUUUGUUCUCAUUUAGUGGUCUUUGGAAUUGCUAUUUCAUAAUUUAGUGACCAGUGCCCUGGAUUGGGUACUGGAGUUGUUCUACAAUCAUCAUUUGUAGUUGUUCAGUGACCUUUUGGGUAGUUGAUCUGCUAGGAAGUGAACAAUGAGUGAGUCAGUCAUACCUCCCUGACUUCAAAGGAUAGAGAUGUCUGUGUUAGAGACACACAAACUAAGCAGAUAGCCCAAACACUAACAGGGAGACAGGAAGCCUGGGAAUACACUAUGGUUAAUGCAGGAAAGAGGAAAACUUGUUAUAUGGUUUAAGACACGUAAUAUUCCAUGCCAUUGUUUGAUGGAGAAAAGUCUUGAAAGAUGUGAUUGGUCCUUUAAGUUUCACACAUUGGUUAAAGUCACCCUGCUUGCUAUCUCAUGAUAUAAUAUGUAGCCAAAACUUUGUAAUUGGUAUUCGUCCCUAAAGUAUGAUACAGAAAUUACACAUCCUAACAGUUUUAGUGCAUGCUUAUGGCUGUCUUGACUGGAUUUAAUGUGAAUCUGUGGACUCAGUUCUGGCCCCAGUUGGCUAACUUGUAAAAUGUUGGGUGGGCACUAGGGUACAGGUGAUGGCAACAGGCAUGGAGAGGCUGAGAACUUGUCCCUGAGAACUGAGCUUCACAGUGCUUAACUCUCCUCCAGCUAUAAGCAUUGUUUCUAGAAAGGCAUUAUUAACUGCUUUCCCUGAGACUGCAGUAGUGUUUGUUGAGGGGGUUGUCCCCUCCCCAACCUCAGUUUUCUGUUAUAUCAUGGAGCACACUAGUAUUGGCAUUGCCUGCUUGUCUGUGAGUGACUAGGGUAAGGACCUUGUUCUUCUUUAUUGCUAGGGCCAAGCACUUGGAGUACUUGCUGGGUGGCAGGCAGGCAGGACAGAUGGCUUCUUGUAAUGAUUCCAUCAGGCAUACUGAUUCCACAAGUGCUAUGUGCCUUCUCUGCCAGGUGCUUCACUGGGCCCUCACCAGAUCAAAUGAGAGAAUGUGAGUCAGAUGACCAUGGGAUGACAAAUUAUAUAUGUCACUGAAGCCAGGAUGCAGGGCCUUGCUGAGUUAUGGCAUUGGGGAGUGUUUCUGUGAGGGUGUGCAGUGAAGGUGAGACUGAAGGACAGUUACCUAGCCUCCUCAUUGCUUUCUUCCUCUUCCUCUUAGGAGGUGCAUGUUGUAGUAUUUAGGAGAAGACAUGGCAUCUGCAACUUCUUUCAGAGGGUAAAUUGUUUUAAAACUAAAUAAGGUGAAUACUGUAACAUUUUUCACUUUAUUAUGAUAUGGGUGGAGUUUGUAUAUGUGCUUAUUACAUUUUUCCUUGAGCACUUCCAUAGAUUUGAUCCUCCCCUUUUUGUUGCAGUACUAAGAUUGAUCCCAGUGCCUGCCACACUGGGCAUACAUGCUGCCCAUAAACUAAUGUGCCAUGAAAUCUACUCACUAUAAAUGCUUAGUGACUCCCAAUGUAUGCACCUUUACCCACCUGCCAUUGCAUCCAAUUUUGGAAUAUUUCCAUCCCCCAAAGUGUGCAGCCAGACCCCACUCCCUUCUUCAGACAAAUACCAAUUGUAUAUUCUCUCUAGUGAUUUUCCUUUUGAAGAGAUUCAUAUACAUGGCCCCACCCUGGCUGGCUUCCUUCUGACAGCUUUUGCUUACCGCAGUGUUUCCGAGGCACUUUCACCAGCAGCAUGUGUCAGUAGUUCCUUCUUGUUGCUGGUUCAGAGCUGUGUGUGCAUUCCUCAGCUGGUGGACAUUUAUAUUGUUUUAGAGUUUGAUUGGUUCACAGUGCAGUGCAGUGCAGUGCAGUUUUGUAGGCAAGGCUUUUUGUAGGUGGUUUCACUUGGAUACAUCCUCAGGUGUGUGGCUGAUGUGUGUUGAACUAAAUAAGAAACUGGGACACUUGCUUCCAAAGUGGCCCUACUGUUUUCUAUUGUCCCCGGGGAUUUAUAGAGAGUCCCAGCUUUUCUGCAUAGUUGCUACUAUGUGCCAUGCCAGUGCCCCUUUUUCGGGUGGCUCUUCUGGGCUCCUUCAUUGUGAGGAGGUUUCUGUUGUUGAGUGAAUAAUUAGUAUUGAGUUUCCAGAAAUCAAGUGGUGAGUGAGGUGCCUUGUAACUCCUAGUCCAGGACACUUGUGUGAGGGUCCAGCAAGGAUAGAGAGCUAUGUGGUGCUCUUACUGGAUUUAUUCUAGUGCACUGGAUUGCCUACUCACUAGAAAUAAUUUUGGCCCUUAUCCAGAUUUGUAAAAAAAAAUUAAUAAGGUAUAGUUUACAGUGGAGUCCUCUGAUCUGAAGGUAUUAUUCUGUUUCAAUUAAUGUUGAGAUAGUUCUGUCACCCUGGAAGGUGUCAGAUGCCCCAUCCAGGUAGCUUUCCAGAAGCAAGCUCUAUCAUAGACCCUGCCAGUAUGUACUUUAUGCUCAUAACCAGCCAGCUUCUGAGACAGUACCAGUGUUAAUUAUGUUUAUGGAGUUUCUUUUGGUGACACAUUUCUGUUUUGUUGUUGUUGUUGUUGUUGUUUUACUAUAAUUUUACAAAGUAGAACUUGGCUCUUUCUCUCCAGCAUUCUGUCUUUUGCUUACUCCUCUCACUAUAAUUAGAACUCUAAGGUUCCUCUCUGGGGCUGGCUGCCUCAAGACUAGCAGGGAGGCCACUGAGCUUUGGCUCAGCCAGCCCCGCCCCAUCAUCUGUGGAGGAGGUCCCUGCCAGUUAGACCAGCCCAACCUAGGAACACUGAGCACGGAUCCGGGAAUCGCUGUAUCUGUGAGCGAUUGACUGUCCUGCCGUCCCAGCCACCCAGCCUGCCUCACCCGCCCAGUGUGGAGCUGCGUGUAGAACCUUGGUCCAGAGGCAGGAGGGAGGCCGGCCUCCACUCACUGGGCAUGGAUCCGCCGGCCACGCGCCUCUGAGGCCUGGCGUUCAUGGAUUUUCUUUCAGAAUCCAGUGUGGGUAUGGAGAAAUCGCCGUUCCAGACCUUAUUCGUAGAGCCACUGCUCCGUUUCCAGAGUCUGGCCAGUUUAGGCCUGGGACCACCUAGAGAUGGAAUGGUCUUGUUUGAAGGAGUCUGAGGAACAGUAAACUCAGGACAGACCACAGCUGCGUUUCUCAGAACCUGUGCCGUUUGUUACAUUUCAGUUCCCGGUGCCUGUGUUAACUUUUGUGUUCUUGAUGUUUGUAAGUAAUUUGACCACUAACGAAGGUCUCCUGAGAGCUGCUGUUCCCAGUGCCAGCAUUCCUGGGAACUUAAGAUGAUUUCUGAGAGGAUACCAUGCAGGGGUAGAGAACAGCCCAGAGAGGAGGAGUCUUCCCAGGUGUUCAGGGCCUUUACCUACCUACGCUGUGGUCAAGGCUCUGUGUCACCAUCACUGUCUUCUGGAAGGCUGAACACCUGUAAAACCUGAAUGGAUCACUCCCUCUUCAAAUGGCAAAACAGCUCCAUGCCCUAGAACAACAGUCUUCUCUCAAACACUUGCUUGUUACAGACAGCAAGGAGUGAAACCAGCUUUGCUAUGCCACACUUGGGAUUUAUUUGUCUUUUCCAUAGCCCCAUUAAGUACCCUUUUCAGAGAAAUGUUGUGGGAAAUUAUGUUAUAGUAAUACAGUGACAACCAUGCACCUGACAUUUCUGGCAUCUCCUUUGGGUACAUGUCUCAUGCCUACUUAUUCUCAUUUAAUCUUCACUCUUACUAGACAAAGAAACAAGCAUGGAGGGGAAGAUAGUGCUCAGAAAGGCAGUGCUGAAGGGGAUGAUCCAUCCUCCACUCUGCAUGUGUUGUUGGCAGACCCACUCCAUACUGUCUCUUGGUUAGUUUAUGCUAUCCCAAGUCCCCCAAGGGAUGUCCUAUUCCAGAUAUAGGUCCUGAACCCUGGACUUACAUUAGCAGAAAAAUUCUGCUGCUGUAGAUGGUUGAGUCAGAUGUGAGCACAGACCUGAUUGAUAGCCCUUUUUUCUUGGUGGACUAAUCCAAGAAGUUAGUGUGUGUGUGGGUGGGGGGGUCUGAUUAGAUUAUCGACAUUUUUGGCUAUCUUUGUAGCACAAUUCCAGUUUGGUUAGUAUUGAUGGGCCAUGUCUCCUGAUUUCCUCCUGGAAGACAUUCUUCCAUUGAUUUGGAUCCGACCUUCUCUUUCUUUGAAUACAAAUUUUGUCUUUUGCGGGGUGUAUGUGUGUGCAUGUGCAUAUAUAUGUGUGUUCUGUCUCUUUUUAAAACAAAUUCAGUUGUCUACUGAUUUUCUUCUGGUUCUUGGCCCUAAGCAGUCUUUAGAUAAGGUCUAAUCCACAUCCACACUCCACUUUACAGCCCUAAUCUGAGCUGUGGGUAGCUAUGUGUAGAGAGUAUAAUGGCUAGGCAAAACAAUUUUGACUCAAUAUCAACCCUGUUUAAAAUGUUCUUGCUAACUCACGGACCAGAAUCUAUGUCUGAAAUAAGCCAUCCCAUGAAGGAGAGAUUUGAGCUAGCAUAAACUAACCUACAAGACAACAUAGGAUGGGUCUGCUAAGAACACAGGCAGUAUGCAGGGAGGGUCAUCCCCACCAGCACUGUGUGCCCCCCUCCUCCCAUUACUGUUUGUGUUGUUGGAAGGUCUCACCCUUUUGGUCUCAGGAUUAGAUCUUCUUAUCUUUGCUUAAAUGGUAUGGAUAAUGAGAUGUACUGUCUUUUGUUCUUUCUGGCCCUUUACUUCUUGUUGCUUACCCCUCCACAUUUCUCAUGGUCUGCUCUGUGCAGUAGCUUUUGCCUGCUUUCCCUGCAGAGUGACCGCUGAGGGUCUCUUAAAGAGUAGGUCCACACAGUUAUUUCACAAAUGAGCUUUCUUUAUGUGGUCUUCUUCCUUCUUUUCCUACUAAAUUUGUUUUUGCUCAUAGCACCUACCUAGAGCCGAGGCCUUGCUCAGGCUUUUUGAUACUUUUUCUCUGAACUUAACUCAUUCAUCACACCACACCCUAUAGCUUCUCCCAUGGUUGGCUGCUGCAUUGGUUUGGUCUCAUUUUCCCCGGUGAGAUUUACUACCAACUGUUCAGGUCAGGGAUUUCAUCCAGGUACUUCUAAAUUACUGUCUUGCAAAGUGUUUUUUGUUUGUUUGUUUUUAAUGACUCACAUUUAGGCAGUUUGAAUCUCUGCACAGAUAGACGUAGAAUGGAGACAUGUUUUUAAUAGGUGUACUUUUUAAUUGUUUUAUUUUUUAACUUUCAAAUUACAUUUAUUUAUUUUGUCUAUACAUAUGUGCAUGUAUGUUUGCCAUAUUGUGCAUGUGGCAGUCGGGAUAGCUUGUGGGAAUUGGUUUCUUAUUUCAGCUCUGUGGGUUCUAGGGAUUGAACCUGCUGAGCCUCUUGGCUCUUACUGUUUUAAGUCUUUCAUGGCCAAUUAAACUGACUUGCAGUAGGACUUUGAAGAAUACUGCCCUAAAGUCCUCUCUGCUGGGAUGAUCAGGGUGGGUGAGGCCACAGUUGAUUGUAUGGGCAAUUUGUUUUACUCAUUGGUCUGCAGGACUUUUGAUAAACCUGGUGGUGCAGACAAGUGUUACUUGACUUAAGGUACAAUACUCCCUAACCUGGUUCUAUGCAGGAAAAACUUUGGGGUGGCAAGUUAGAUGUACACAGACUGUAAAGAUUUUGUCUGUCAUGCAGAAAGAUCUCAGUCCAUCAGCGAGUAGGCAGCCAUCACAGUAUAGUAUCCUGUGUAACUCUCAUAGUGCCUUACCAGUCACUUCUGUUUAUAAUGAGGGAGUGGAGGCAUAAGGUAGUCCAGACUUGCCUAAAGUCAUAGGACUUAGAUCUUGGUCUUCUAAACCUUUACUUCUGCUGCAUUGUGUAUGACGCUAGUGUUGAUGAGUCAGUAGUGAGUGCUUUUUCUUAGGCCUUAGAGUGAGUAUUGUCUUCUUGUAUCUGGAGCUGGUUUGUCUGGUUGUAUAGAGAGCCUACUGUGGACAUCUCUAGGUGGCCGUAAGAGAACAACUAGGUCUGAGGCAGGACUUGUGACCAUUUCCAGUGCUGUUCCAUUUGUAUUUGCAAGUACCAUUUGGGUUUUGAAAAGGUUCUACCUGGGAUUUCAAGUUUGGGCAGACCAGGCUCUAUCAUUUUAAUCAUGCAUCACUGUGUGAUGAAGCAUACUGUUUGACCCCAUUUGGCACUAACUGACUCAGGAUUAUAAGUUUCUGUCAGGGUUGAAAGCUUCAUUGAGGCUGAAUGCAAUGGAGAUUGCUUCCUAUGGAGUCCUACUUGUGAGCAGCUUACAUGAGUUGGUGAGGAAUGUCCCUAAAGAACCCAGUGCUCAGAGUCUGAUCAAUUUUCCCAUUUUCCACAGAGCAAAUCUGUGAUAUCAGUGGGCCUCCAUAUAUGCAUUAAGAUUGGGUUGUUGGUGGUGGUAGUGACAACUUUAGCCUCUGAGGAUUGGUGUGCAGGUUAAAUAAACUCUUCUUGUGAGGUCCCUGGAAAGCGCUUGCUGCAUUAGCCUGAUCAGCUGCCACUGCCUAGUGUUGUUACUCAAAUUAGUAAGAAGUGUUUGUUGACAAAACCUGGUGCUUUGGCCUUGAAUUAAGGCAUUCCCUUCCUUUUGCUUCUGUGUUGGCAUGCAAACUUUGCUGGACUCCUUGAUUGGUUUAGAGCUGCAGUAUUUUCCCUUGUAUUAUGGAGUCAUUUCAGAUCUGAGGGAAAAUGUAAUGGUGCAUGCAAUCCUAUCCCUGUGCUGCAGGGCCUGUGCUGACUGCAUGGCUAUCUCCCUGCUGUUGGCAGCAGCCUGCUCUGAUAGUGCUCAUGUCCAUUUGGUAGCUGUGGGAGCCAGGCUUGAGAAUUCUAAGAACGUGCUUUGCUUGAGUCUUAGCAUCUAGUUAGUGGAUCUGUGUUGUUUUUUCCAAGUCUACCCUGGUUUCAGAAGCCUCCCUAACCCAUGUUUUCUGUCUCAAACUACACAUUUGUUUGGGUAUAGUCAUGAAAGAGGUCUGGCCUCCUUAGGGUGGCAGUACAGAGAGACCUGCAGCCCUAGCCCUGAACUUUGAACUUACAUCACCUUGUCUGUAAGGUGGGGUUAUACAGCCACAGCAAAUGGAAAGAAGCAUGCAGAUUCUGGGGUGUCUUACUUAUGGUCUGAGAUUGCUGGCCUUAGCAUAAAUUGCACUAGACCAGACUCAGUGCAUCCAGUGAGGUUAUUGUUAUUAAUUCUUGCCAGAAUGUCACAUGCCUUUGAAUCACUGUCAGCACAAGGCUUUGGGUAGAUUUCCUAUUGACCUGAAGAUAUUGACACCUACUUACUGGACUUGGAGCAUCUCGCUGGUGGUACUGAACUGUCACCACCCAGCCUUGCACAGGGUCUGAAGCCAGUAUCAAUCGCUCAGCUCUAGAUAGAUAGGUAACUGGAAGGAAUUUCCUCCUUCAAAGGGACCAUUUCAGGGUAAGCAGGGUAGGAGCCUAACCCUAUACACUCCAGUCUAAGAAGCUGUUGCAGUUUUUAAAAGCUUUAGUUGUCUUUUCUGGGUGAGAGAAUAAUAUUCUAGCUUGUGUCAAUAAAUCCUCUUCACAGGGUAGUGUGGCUCUCAUCAUCCAGAAUGGCAUGAAUCUAUCACAGUUGCACACUUGCUUUCUUUCAAGCCGGAUAGUCUCCCUCCCUUAGGGAUGCUCCUCACCUGUAAUAGACAACUAGAAAAUAAUAUGUUUUGAUUUUACAGGGAUCCCAAAUCGCACAUUAUUCCAGAAGCUAACUCUUCUGAACCCUCCUACUGGGUGUUUGGAAAGUGGGUCACUAUGUGUGACUAAGCUGCUGUGGCUGCAGUCUGUGGAUCAAAUUAGUGACUCUGCAUAUGGAGGUCACUUUUAGAUUUCCAGGGCAUAGUAGAAUUAUUGACAGAACAGUGUGCAGUGAUGGUAUAGCAGUGGCCAUUACAAUAGCCAUUCAUCUCUUAACCAGAAGUACAGAAGACCUGCCACUACAUGGGAAUCCUGGUUAAGGGGCUGCAGUCCCUUGUAACUCCAUAACCACCAUAAGGGAAGUAUGCAGACCUGUUCUAAGACCAUUACCACAGCAGGGAAUUCUUGGACCCCUUCGGCCUGUAGCUUUCCUUCUGAACAGCAGAGAAGACUUAGAGUGCAUUCAUCCUUACAAUGAAUUCAUCUGUAAGCCCAUAAGCAGUUCCUUUUUUUGGUAAUAUGAAACUGGCUGGGCCUAGAGUCACCUUGGUGUUUUUGUCCUAGGAAUAUGAAGACAAGGCUGGAAGACCAAGCAGGCCACCCUCUCCAAAGCAGAAUGUGAGGAAGAACCUGGAUUUUGAGCCGUUGUCCACCACGGCACUCAUCCUUGAGGACAGACCCGCGUGAGUCUGAGGAAAAGCCUCUGUGCUGUCUGCUGUGGGGAUGAGGCUAGCUUGCCACUCCUUUUCCAAAGGCAGGAGAGAGGAGAAGAGUGGCUGGGUCUCUUCUUAACUCCAUGUCAGCCUUCACUCAAUGUGACAUGAAAUGGUGAUUUGGGAAACUGUUUUGUGUCAUAGAAAUUUAACCAGGAUUUUCCUUUCAGGCAGUAUUUGCCUGUAAUUUAUCAUUCAGUUUCACAUUGUGUAGCUGUUGUAAGUAUGUGCAAGGCCAAUUUGGGAGUGCAAGAAACCCUACAAGUAUGCUACAGAGUGGUACUGUAAAGGUACCUUUGUUUGCAGGACACCUUCUAUGUGACCUAUGCAGUUUCUUUGGUGGUUCAGGUCAGGAUUUCUCUCUCUCUGGACCUUGGUAUCCCUGCUGUGUGUUGAAGAGAUCAUGCUUGGAGACCUUCCUGGAGUAGGAAGUCAUAGCUAAAUUAAUUACUAAAUUUACACAGAACAAUGUGUUGGGGAGAAGGUUUCCCACUUGAGGAAGAACAAGAACAACAAUAGGCUAGUUGUCUAUUCAAUUCCAGGAUCCAAUCCAUCUCUGAUGGUCAGGCCAGUGAGAUGGUCAAUAAGUAAAGAAAGACACUUGCUGCCAAGCCUGAUGACUUUGGUUCCUGGCACUUGUAUGGUGGAAAGAGACAACUGACUUUUGCAAGUUAUUCUCUCAUCCUGCCCCCCCCCCACACACACACGAGGUGGGGGGAGGAAGGAGAGAAGGAAGAGAAAUAUAAUUUAAAAAAUUAAAAUGUGAAGUCUAAUGAGAAGUGUAUCUGCUGUUAGUUCCUGGUUCUUGGAGAACAGAGUGGGGGAAAUCCUGAAAAGGAGGUUGGAACUUUAGGGUGAAGAGAAGACCAGCUCUUUUAGUGUACUGAGAGGUAGACUGGGGGCUUGUCACCUUUAGCCAGUAGCAGUGGGUUGCAAUUGCACAGAGAACUUAGGUGGUUAUGGUACUUGUGAGAUGUAGGUCAGGUGUUACCACAUCUCAUUAAGUCAGUUGCCAGAGUCCAGAGGCAUUUUCUAUGGGGUAUGUAUAGCUUCUGUGUGCAUUUAUAUGGAACAGAGCAAAGGAACUACAGAACUAUACUAGUUAUUGUUCUCACUGCUGUGGCAAAUACCUGACAAAAGAAGCUCAAGGGAGCAAGGGUUUAUCUUGACUCACAUUUUGAGGGUAUAGUUCAUUAUAGUGGAGAAAGCAUGGUGGUAGGCAUGUGAGGUGCUGAUGGCAUUGCAUCAGCAGUCAGGAAGCAGAGAUAAUGUUGGUGCUCAGGUUGCUUCCUCCCAGCCUUUGGAAUGGUGUCACCCACAUUCCUUCCUUAAACCAGUCUGGAAAUACCCUCUCAGAUACACCCAGAGGAAUGUUUCUUAAGGGGUUGUACCAGACAGUGUGAUUAAUUAUCACAAGAGCUGAUCUGAAACUGAGCACUUAAACUGGCAUAUAAUAUAUACAGUGAGGUGAUCCUGAUGCAAGGGCCAGCUGUUGACACUACUCUUUGCAGUCAACUCCAAGUGUUUGGAGAGUAGGGUGACUUCUUUUUCUUUUUUCUUUUUUAAAGAUUUUAUUUAUUUAUUAUGUAUACAACAUUCUGCACACCAGAAGAGGGCACCAGAUCUCAUAACGGAUGGUUGUGAGCCACCAUGUGGUUGCUGGGAAUUGAACUCAGGACCUCUGGAAGAGCAGUCGGUGCUCUUAUCCUCUGAGCCAUCUCUCCAGCCGAGGGUGACUUCUUUAUGUAUAUCUUUAUUGCCCAGGAUUUCAUAGUAUUUUGCUUUGUAAGAAAUAUCUUUGUAGGGAGAUAGUUUAGUGGUGGUGGAGCCCUUGGCUACUGUGUGUAAAGCCCCAGCUGAGCAAUGUAGCAUAUACCUGUAGUCCUAGCACUUGGGAGGCUAAAUUAGUAGGGUCUCCUGGGCUAUGUAAAACUAUCUCAACAAAACACAUAUAGUUUUAGUUUAUGAAAGAACUAUAGUUUUAAAUAAUUGAUUUUUUGACUUUGGGUUUUACAACUUAUAUAAUAAUGCUUCAGGGAUUUUUUUUUCCUUAGACUUUUAUCUAGUUGUAACAUGCAAACCUAUUUAUUUCCUGUCAAGAAAUCUCCCAGCAAAACCAGCUGAAGAAGCCCAAAAGCAUAGACAGCAAUAUGAAGAGAUGGUGGUGCAGGCCAAGAAACGAGGUACUGUGAAAAUGAGUCAAAGUCUGUGGUGUGAGUGUUUUCUUCUUAUCUUUUGGAACUCUAACUUUAGCCUUGAUGAAGGUUUUCAUACUUUGACAUGUAUAGUUUUUCCAUUAAGCAAACAAGGAUUCUUCUCUCCAUUCCUGGUAGUAUAAUAGUACCAAAUGAGAAUAGGGUAUGGUAGCACAUACCUGUUAACCCAGCACUUGGGAAGUUGAGGCAAACUCUUGAGUUUAAAAGCCAGUCUUUAACUCGACCCUGCCACAGAAAACACAUAGACUUACCUCAGAAAAGAUACUGUAGGAUAAGAAGUGUGUGUUGGAAAGAAUUGCAGCCAGUAGUGACAUGCAGCUGUUUUUCCCUCCUUGGGCUGUUGUUUUCACAAGAUGUAAGUGGAUUUGAUAAGUUCCUUUGCAACACACCUCAUGUCUUAGUUAGGGUUUCUAUUGCUAUGUAGUCACCAUGACCAUAAUGACUUUUAUGAGGGAAAACAUUUAAUAGAGGCUGGCUUACAGUUUCAGAGGUUUAGUACAUUAUGGUGGGAUGGUGACAUGCAGGCAGACAUGGUGCUGGAGAAGGAGGUGAGAGGUCUACAUUUUUUGAUCCACAGGUAACAGGAAGUGAACUGAGACACACUUCCUCCAACAACACCUUCUAGUAGUGCUACUCCCUGAGCCUAUGGGGCCAAUUACAUUCAAACUACCACACCUAAAAAGCUAGAGUACUAUGACUCCAGAGUGUUUGUUUUGUUUUUUUGUUUUUCAAGACAGGGUUUCUCUGUAACAGCCCUGCCUGUCCUGGAACUCGCUUUGUAGGACUCUAGAGUGUUUAAAGUACAUAUAAUAAACAAAUGGAAUGAAGAACGAAGGGGUCUGUACCUGGUUGGAGAAACCCACAGAAACAGUUGGCCUGAAAAAGGGAAAGCAUAUCGACCCCAGAUGCUCUUUGGGAGGACAGUACAGGACUAAUCCAGCCCCCUGAUCAUGGAUGCCAAUGGGGAGGCCCCUGCACUCCUUGGAGCCUCUGGAGGUGGACUGGC
rnacentral:lncRNA from 1 species